rnacentral:rRNA from 1 species
AGUUUGAGCCCCCGAAACUAGAUGAGCUACUUCGGAAUAGUCUUAAGAACAAACCCGUCUCUGUCGCAAAAGAGUGGGAUAAUUUCCAAGUAGAGGCGACAAACCUAUCGCACCUAGAGAUAGCUGGUUAUUCAAGAAAAGAAUUUAAGUUCAACCUUAAGUUUCUACAUUAAACAAAAAACAACUUUAGAGCCACUCAAAUAAGGCACAGCUUAUUUGAGGCAGGAUACAACCUACAACACAGGGUAACACGACAAAUAAAUAACAAGUAGGCCCAAAAGCAGCCACCUUCAAAAAAGCGUCAGAGCUUAAUAUUUAUUCUAUAUUAAUACCAUCCCCCCUUACUAACCCUUCACCUAUAUUGAAUAACUCCAUAAACUUAUGGAAAUUUUUAUGCUAGAACUAGUAACAAGAAAUAGACUUUCUCCUAAAUGUAAGCUUAGGCCGUAACAGACAAACUAUCGGCAAUUAACGUAAAUGAACACAAUACAGCAACUCUAACAAGAAAACCCUGUAUAUACACAACGUUACCCUUACACCAGAACAUUUAAGGAAAGAUUAAAAGA